UAUAUAUAAGUAUUGCUACUGUGUAUAAUAUGUUAUCCAGUGAAAGUGCUGUUCUUUAUCAUGUUUUGUGGGUGCUGAGAACGUGUUAUAUUCUUUAUCAUGUUUUGUGGGUGCUGGUGGGAAACUCAUCAUUUCGGUGGGUGCUACCAUACAUUGAACCUGCACUCCCAAAGAAGUAACCCAGCCAGAUGUCUAAGAAUGAGCCUCCCAGUACAAUUGUUGUCACCCAAAUGAAAUUUCAUCACAUUCCUAGUUUAGUUUCACCCAGAAUUCAAAGGAUGAAGGGGGCGUAUCAAUUGAAAGGCUUUCAUCCUUGGUCAAAAAUCUUCCUCUGCCACAGUUUUCCACCGAGAGGUAUUUCAAGUUGUUCUAGCAUAGUCAGUGGCAUCUUUGAAGGCAGAAACCAGACAAGCCAUAGGAACCACCUGUGUCCAGCUUCGUGUCAUAGCAGCAACGGUUCCCCCUGCGACAGCACCAACAAUCAGACCAUUCACCCAAUCACUCUUUCCCCGAUAUCUUUGAAGCCCACAGUGAGUAGCAGUACAGAUUCCAGCAACAAGUCCAUAUUGAAAGCCACACGAGCUAGCCGACCUCGCCACAAAAGCGGCCUGAGCUACCCCUCCUAGGCCUUGUUUACGAGCCUCGUGGGGAGCGGAACACAAACCCCAAAUUGCACCAGACGUUCCGAUGUGGAGGAUAGAAUCAACGGCGAGAAAAGCAUCAGAUUGCAUCAGAUCGGCGAUGAUCUUGGUGCGGGGGAGGAAGGCGGCGGCGUGCUGGAGGUCGAGCAUCUCACCGCGGAGCUUCUCUGGUUUGGCGUUGACGAGGACGAGCUCGUUGGCCAGGUCCUGGGUGAGGAUGGUCUGAGCGAUGGCCUUUGAAGAAGGCCUGGGUUAGGUCGAGGCCGCUGGAGCCUAGCGAGCCUGGAGAGUGACGGAGAAAAAUGGAGGUGAACCGACGUCGUUUUGCGUUUGUUUUGUAAUUUGUCUUGCAACUGCUUCGGUGGCAUGCCUUGAAAUGUUGUUGCUGUAAAUUUGAACUUGAACAGGUUUGGAUUUGAAACCAUGUGCUCAGGUUCAAGCAGCUCAUCUUUCAGUGGCAAGAAAAAUCGAGCAAGUUCCCGGCCAAGGUUUCGACAAAUGAUCAAGGGGAAAAAUGAUAAAAGAUCUGGGUUUCAUCAAAGAAUUCAGCUGGUAUUGUUAAAGCGAAUUCGUGCUGAUAACGUGUUAUAAAUCUAGAAGAAAUUGUAGAGAGAAUUGAGGUAUAGAGAAAGAGUAGAAAUCUGAUCUUUAUUAAGAGUUUUCUCAAUCUCAUAUGUAUCUGUAUAUUUACAAAGAAAAGAGUGAACCAUUUUAUAGGCAAAGCCUCUUCCAACAUGUGGGGCUCCA